CGAUGAGAAUCGCUUCCCGAACGGGCCGCUACAUGGUUUAUCGUCGGAGCAGUUCAGCAAGUUCACGGAGAUCGCGUAGAGAAGACGAGUGUCGAUUUUAACCGGGACGUUAACCGGACUGUUACUGGUUCGAUAGCUUCUAAAUUGUGGUGGUGGUUUUGUCAAAACCGGCACCAAAGGCGGAGGAGUAAGCUCGAGCCGCCAUGAAGUAACGGCCUGACCGCUGAUUCGCGUGGAGAAGGACGUCCAUGGAUUGGCCUGGAGUGAUCAUUAGGUAACUUGUAUUGAAAUGCUUUAAGUAGAGACCGUCUUUGGCCACAACCGUUAAGGUGUGGUUUGCGAUUGCAAAGAAGAGCUCUUCGUCCAUCACUGCAUUGAUAAUCCGGAGAAGGUAUCGUCGAUGGCGCACUACCGUCAUUUUAAAUGUGUCUGUUAGCAGAUGGCAAAGAAAAAUAACAAUGUUACGUUAGUGCCAGAUAAAUGAUGAUGAGCAUGUGUUGAAUUUGGAAGACUUACCCGGUUUAGAGCAGGGGUAGAUAUAACCGGGUUGUCCGUUUAUGGUAUAUGCAUCUGAGAUAGCCGGUUCACCUCCGGUUUUAUUAGCGUUUCCUGCAAUAUCCAUUAUGUUUUUCUUCUUCCACCAUUCACCUAUCAUUUGUCACAAAAUGUAUAAUAUCAUAAGUCAUAAUAAUAUUAAAAACUUGAUUCCAUCA